CAGACAUCACUAACCGAUGCUGAACGGAGUUGGAAAUAGUGGUGUAUUAGAGUUUGGACCAUGGAGGAGAUAUCAGGAUCAGACCAGGAUUGCAAAAAUAUGCCUGUGAUCUCACACUGGAUCCAAACACAGCUCACACUCAACUCAUCCUGUCUGAAGAGAACAGAAAAACAACAUUUGUGAAGGAGCAUCAGCCGUAUCCUGAGCAUCCAGAGAGAUUCGAGAGCCAGGAGCAGGUUUUGUGUCGAGAGAGUCUGUCUGGACGCU